GAUGAACGCUGGCGGCGUGCCUAAUACAUGCAAGUCGAGCGAACAGACGAGGAGCUUGCUCCUCUGAUGUUAGCGGCGGACGGGUGAGUAACACGUGGAUAACCUACCUAUAAGACUGGGAUAACUUCGGGAAACCGGAGCUAAUACCGGAUAACAUGUUGAACCGCAUGGUUCAACAGUGAAAGACGGUCUUGCUGUCACUUAUAGAUGGAUCCGCGCCGCAUUAGCUAGUUGGUAAGGUAACGGCUUACCAAGGCAACGAUGCGUAGCCGACCUGAGAGGGUGAUCGGCCACACUGGAACUGAGACACGGUCCAGACUCCUACGGGAGGCAGCAGUAGGGAAUCUUCCGCAAUGGGCGAAAGCCUGACGGAGCAACGCCGCGUGAGUGAAGAAGGUCUUCGGAUCGUAAAACUCUGUUAUUAGGGAAGAACAAAUGUGUAAGUAACUAUGCACGUCUUGACGGUACCGAAUCAGAAAGCCACGGCUAACUACGU
rnacentral:rRNA from 1 species